AACGAACGCUGGCGGCAGGCUUAACACAUGCAAGUCGAGCGCCCCGCAAGGGGAGCGGCAGACGGGUGAGUAACGCGUGGGAACGUACCUUUUGGUUCGGAACAACUCCGGGAAACUUGAGCUAAUACCGGAUAAGCCCUAACGGGGAAAGAUUUAUCGCCGAAAGAUCGGCCCGCGUCUGAUUAGCUAGUUGGUGAGGUAACGGCUCACCAAGGCGACGAUCAGUAGCUGGUCUGCGAGGAUGAUCAGCCACACUGGGACUGAGACACGGCCCAGACUCCUACGGGAGGCAGCAGUGGGGAAUAUUGGACAAUGGGCGCAAGCCUGAGCCAGCCAUGCCGCGUGAGUGAUGAAGGCCUUAGGGUUGUAAAGCUCUUUUGUCCGGGAAGAUAAUGACUGUACCGGAAGAAUAAGCCCCGGCUAACUUCGUG
rnacentral:rRNA from 1 species